rnacentral:rRNA from 1 species
AACGAACGCUGGCGGCAUGCCUAACACAUGCAAGUCGAACGAGAUCCUUCGGGGUCUAGUGGCGCACGGGUGCGUAACGCGUGGGAAUCUGCCCUUAGGUUCGGAAUAACAGUUAGAAAUGACUGCUAAUACCGGAUGAUGACGUUAAGUCCAAAGGUUUAUCGCCUGAGGAUGAGCCCGCGUCGGCUUAGCUAGUUGGUGUGGUAAAGGCGCACCAAGGCGACGAUCCUUAGCUGGCCUGAGAGGAUGAUCAGCCACACUGGGACUGAGACACGGCCCAGACUCCUACGGGAGGCAGCAGUGGGUAAUAUUGGACAAUGGGCGCAAGCCUGAUCCAGCAAUGCCGCGUGAGUGAUGAAGGCCUUAGGGUUGUAAAGCUCUUUUACCCGGGAUGAUAAUGACGGUACCGGGAGAAUAAGCCCCGGCUAACUCCGUG